GACGAACGCUGGCGGCGUGCUUAACACAUGCAAGUCGAACGGACAGGCCCUGCUUUUGUGGGUUGCUCGAUUGGCGAACGGGUGAGUUUCCCGUGAGUAACCCGCCCUUUCCUUUGUGAUAUCUUCUGGACACUCGGGCUAAUACCGUAUAUGAGCUCCUGCUGCAUUGUGGUGGUUGGUCAUUUUCGGCGGUUGGGGAUGGACUCGCGGCUUAUCAGCUUGUUGGUGUGGUAGUGGCUUACCAAGGCUUUGACGGGUAGCCGGCCUGAGAGGGUGACCGGACAAAAGAGGACGGAGAGACGGAACAGACGGGAACGGGAGGCAGCAGUGGGGAAUAGUGCACAAUGGGCGGAAGCAUGAUGGAGCAAAGCCGCGAGCGGGAAGACGGCCAACGGGUUGUAAACCGAGUUAGCCUGGGACGAAGCGAGAGUGACGGUAAUGGGUAAAGAAGCAACGGCUAACUACGUG
rnacentral:rRNA from 1 species